rnacentral:rRNA from 1 species
AGGACUAACGCUGGCGGCGUGCCUAACACAUGCAAGUCGAACGAGAGUAGCAAUACUCUAGUGGCAGACGGGUGAGUAACACGUGGUCAACCUACCUUUAAGUGGGGGAUAACUAGCCGAAAGGUUAGCUAAUACCGCAUACGAUCUUCGCGUGGCAUCACAUGAAGAUGAAAGGAGCAAUCCGCUGAAAGACGGGACCGCGUCCCAUUAGCCAGUUGGUGGGGUAACGGCCUACCAAAGCAACGAUGGGUAGCUGGCUUGAGAGAGCGACCAGCCACACUGGGACUGAGACACGGCCCAGACUCCUACGGGAGGCAGCAGUGAGGAAUUUUCCGCAAUGGGCGAAAGCCUGACGGAGCGACGCCGCGUGUGGGAUGAAGGCCUCGGGUCGUAAACCACUGUCGAAGGGGAAGAUAUUGACGGUACCUUGGAGGAAGCCCGGCUAACUACGCGCCAGCAGCCGC